rnacentral:rRNA from 1 species
CCUACGGGAGGCAGCAGUGGGGAAUAUUGCACAAUGGGGGAAACCCUGAUGCAGCGACGCCGCGUGAGUGAAGAAGUAAUUCGGUAUGUAAAGCUCUAUCAGCAGGGAAGAAAAUGACGGUACCUGAGUAAGAAGCCCCGGCUAACUACGUGCCAGCAGCCGCGGUAAUACGGCGGGGGCAAGCGUUAUCCGGAUUUACUGGGUGUAAAGGGAGCGGAGACGGCAGUGCAAGUCUGGAGUGAAAGGCGGGGGCUCAACCCCCGGACUGCUCUGGAAACUGUACGGCUGGAGUGCAGGAGAGGUAAGUGGAAUUCCUAGUGUAGCGGUGAAAUGCGUAGAUAUUAGGAGGAACACCAGUGGCGAAGGCGGCUUACUGGACUGUAACUGACGUUGAGGCUCGAAAGCGUGGGGAGCAAACAGGAUUAGAUACCCGGGUAGUC